UUGCUUCAGCAGCACAUAUACUAAAAUUGUAAUGAUACAGAGAAGAUAGCAUGGCCCUUGUGCAAGGAUGACACACAAAUUCAUGAGGUGUUCCACACACAC